AGAGUUUGAUCCUGGCUUAGGAUGAACGCUGGCGGCGUGCUUAACACAUGCAAGUCGAACGAGGGUUGCUGGUUGAAGUUUCGGAUGGAAACCGGUAAUCCUAGUGGCGGACGGGUGAGUAACGCGUGGGGAACCUGCCCCGCUCCGGGGGAUACCAGCUGGAAACGGCUGUUAAUACCGCAUAAGCGCACAGCAUUGCAUGAUGCAGUGUGAAAAAACUCCGGUGGAACGGGAUGGCCCCGCGUCUGAUUAGCCAGUUGGCAGGGUAACGGCCUACCAAAGCGACGAUCAGUAGCCGGCCUGAGAGGGCGACCGGCCACAUUGGGACUGAGACACGGCCCAAACUCCUACGGGAGGCAGCAGUGGGGAAUAUUGCACAAUGGGGGAAACCCUGAUGCAGCGAACCGCCGCGUGAGUGAGGAAGUAUUUCGGUAUGUAAAGCUCUAUCAGCAGGGAAGAAGAUGACGGUACCUGCACAAGAAGCCCCGGCUAACUACGUGCCAGCCGCAGC
rnacentral:rRNA from 1 species